UACGUAGGGACCGAGCGUUGUCCGGAAUCAUUGGGCGUAAAGAGCGCGCAGGCGGUCGUUCAAGUCGCGUGUGAAAGCCCCCGGCUCAACUGGGGAGGGUCACGCGAUACUGAUCGACUCGAAGGCAGGAGAGGGUAGUGGAAUUCCCGGUGUAGUGGUGAAAUGCGUAGAUAUCACUUGGAACGCCAAUGGUGAAGACAGCUCGCUGGGGGUGUCCUGACGCUGAGGCGCGAAAGCCAGGGGAGCGAACGGG
rnacentral:rRNA from 1 species